rnacentral:rRNA from 1 species
AUUGAACGCUGGCGGCAGGCCUAACACAUGCAAGUCGAGCGGAUGAAGGGAGCUUGCUCCUGGAUUCAGCGGCGGACGGGUGAGUAAUGCCUAGGAAUCUGCCUGGUAGUGGGGGAUAACGUCCGGAAACGGGCGCUAAUACCGCAUACGUCCUGAGGGAGAAAGUGGGGGAUCUUCGGACCUCACGCUAUCAGAUGAGCCUAGGUCGGAUUAGCUAGUUGGUGGGGUAAAGGCCUACCAAGGCGACGAUCCGUAACUGGUCUGAGAGGAUGAUCAGUCACACUGGAACUGAGACGCGGUCCAGACUCCUACGGGAGGCAGCAGUGGGGAAUAUUGGACAAUGGGCGAAAGCCUGAUCCAGCCAUGCCGCGUGUGUGAAGAAGGUCUGCGGAUUGUAAAGCACUUUAAGUUGGGAGGAAGGGCAGUAAGUUAAUACCUUGCUGUUUGGACGUUACCAACAGAAUAAGCACCGGCUAACUUCGU